rnacentral:rRNA from 1 species
CCCGUCACACCAUGGGAGUUGAUUUCACUCGAAGCCGGUGAGCUAACCAGCAAUGGAGGCAGCCGUCCACAGUGGGAUUAGCGACUGGGGUG